GUGGCGAAAGCGGCUCUNUGGUCUGUCACUGACGCUGAGGCUNGAAAGCGUGGGUAGCGGACAGGAUUAGAUACCCUGGUAGUNCACGCCGUAAACGAUGAGUGCUAGGUGUUAGGCCCUUUCCGGGGCUUAGUGCCGGAGCUAACGCAAUAAGCACUCCGCCUGGGGAGUACGACCGCAAGGUUGAAACUCAAAGGAAUUGACGGGGGCCCGCACAAGCGGUGGAGCAUGUGGUUUAAUUCGAAGCAACGCGAAGAACCUUACCAGGUCUUGACAUCCCGAUGCUAUUCUUAGAGAUAGGAAGUUACUUCGGUACAUCGGAGACAGGUGGUGCAUGGUUGUCGUCAGCUCGUGUCGUGAGAUGUUGGGUUAAGUCCCGCAACGAGCGUAACCCUUAUUGUUAGUUGCCAUCAUUAAGUUGGGCACUCUAGCGAGACUGCCGGUAAUAAACCGGAGGAAGGUGGGGAUGACGUCAAAUCAUCAUGCCCCUUAUGACCUGGGCUACACACGUGCUACAAUGGUCGGUACAAUGAGUUGCGAGCCGGUGACGGCAAGCUAAUCUCUGAAAGCCGAUCUCAGUUCGGAUUGGAGGCUGCAACUCGCCUCCAUGAAGUCGGAAUCGCUAGUAAUCGCGGAUCAGCACGCCGCGGUGAAUACGUUCCCGGGCCUUGUACACACCGCCCGUCACACCACGAGAGUUUGUAACACCCGAAGUCGGUGAGGUAACCUUUUAGGGGCCAGCCGCCUAAGGUGGGANGGA
rnacentral:rRNA from 1 species